GGGAAGGAAGCGAGCCUAUGUAUGUAUCAUGACUUGAAGAGGGUAACUGUGGCGAUGUAACCAUUUUUCAUCACCUCAAAUGCAACGUUCUGAUAGCCAUAGACGAAAGUAGAUCCAAAAGGAUUGUUUGUUGAACCUUGUGUUUGGAUGGCAGCUCGCCCACAAUCCCCGAGGAUUUCCUUCACAUCUUCCCACUUCGUGCUAGGGGUUAUAGAGUUUUUACUGUUCGUUUCAUCAAAAGAACCUGAAACAUGGAUUACAAAAUUGCACUUGAUGUAUGAAUUGAAAUCAGCAUGGCCAGGGUAAUUGGUAUGCAAAACAAACUUCUUGAUUUUAUGAGUCUGCCCAUCAAACAAGAUGUCCAAACCACGGGUAAAA
rnacentral:misc_RNA from 1 species